rnacentral:rRNA from 1 species
UACGGAGGGGGCGAGCGUUAAUCGGAAUUACUGGGCGCCUAGCGUGCGCAGGUGGUUUGUUAAGUCAGAUGUGAAAGCCCCGAGCUUAACUUGGGAACUGCGUUUGAAACUGGCAAGCUAGAGUCUGUCAGAGGGGGGUAGAAUUCCACGUGUAGCAGUGAAAUGCGUAGAGAUGUGGAGGAAUACCAAUGGCGAAGGGAGCCCCCUGGGAUAAGACUGACGCUCAUGCACGAUAGCGUGGGGAGCAUACAGGAUUAGAUACCCUGGUAGUCCACGCCCUAAACGAUGUCAACUGGUUGUUGGUCAACUUGAUUGUUCAGUAACGAAUUUAACGCGAGAAGUUGACCGCCUGGGGAGUACGGUCGCAAGAUUAAAACUCAAAGGAAUUGACGGGGACACGCACAAGCGGUGGAUGAUGUGGAUUAAUACGAUGCAACGCGAAAAACCUUACCUACCCUUGACAUGUACGGAAGUCUGCUGAGAGGUGGAUGUGCCUGAAAGGGAACCGUAACACAGGUGCUGCAUGGCUGUCGUCAGCUCGUGUCGUGAGAUGUUGGGUUAAGUCCCGCAACGAGCGCAACCCUUGCUAUUAAUUGCCAUCAUUAAGUUGGGCACUUUAAUAGGACGUGCUGGUGAUAAACCGGAGGAAGGUGGGGAUGACGUCAAGUCCUCAUGGCCCUUAUGGGUAGGGCUUCACACGUCAUACAAUGACCGGUACAGAGGGAUGCCAACCCGCGAGGGGGAGCCAAUCUCAGAAAGCCGGUCGUAGUCCGGAUUGUUCUCUGCAACUCGAGAGCAUGAAGUCGGUAUAAGGAGUAAUCGCGGAUCAGC